rnacentral:sRNA from 12 species
AAUGCCCUGCAUUUCUCGAAGCCUUACGUUCCUACGUAGGGUACUUAUGUAGAGAAUGUGGGGCAUU